UACGAAGGGGGCUAGCGUUGCUGGGAAUCACUGGGCGUAAAGCGCACGUAGGCGGAUUGCUAAGUCAGGGGUGAAAUCCUGGAGCUCAACUCCAGAACUGCCUUUGAUACUGAAGAUCUUGAGUGCGGGAGAGGUGAGUGGAACUGCGAGUGUAGAGGUGAAAUUCGUAGAUAUUCGCAAGAACACCAGUGGCGAAGGCGGCUCACUGGCCCGAUACUGACGCUGAGGCACGAAAGCGUGGGGAGCAAACAGG
rnacentral:rRNA from 1 species